GAGUUGGUGCAGCAAGAGGUCCCUGCAAUGCAAGAAGCGAGCGCUCAUCGUGGACGUGCCACUUGACGUCGCCGCCCUUCUUGUUGAAGGCCUCCAUGUGCUCCCCAAUGUGGGCGAGAUCCUUGUCCCUGCACCCGGCGUUGACGACGAGGUAGAUGUGCUGGUCGGUGACCUUGGUAACGACGGAGUCGUCGAUGGCGCCGCCGCGGUCGUUGGUGAAGACGGUGAGCGUCCCGGUGCCGUCCUUGAGCGCCGCGACGUCGGCGACGACGAGGGACUCGAGGAAGGGGAUGGCCUGGCGGCCGUGGAGGCUGAGGCCGCACAUGUGGGAGACGUCGAAGAGGCUGCCGUUGGCGCGGCAGUUGAGGGUGGAGUCCAUGAUGGUGUCCUUGUACUGGAUGGGCAUGCUCCACCCGGCG
rnacentral:misc_RNA from 1 species